rnacentral:tRNA from 1 species
GGGCCUAUAGCUCAGCCUGGUACUUUGCUUGAAAUUCAGGCGAUGCAGGAAAGAGCGCGAGACUCUUAAUCUUGAAGCCGGGGGUUCGAAUCCCUCUGGGCCCA